AUUGAACGCUGGCGGCAUGCUUUACACAUGCAAGUCGAACGGUAACAGGCCGCAAGGUGCUGACGAGUGGCGAACGGGUGAGUAAUGCAUCGGAACGUGCCCAGUCGUGGGGGAUAACUACUCGAAAGAGUAGCUAAUACCGCAUACGAUCUAUGGAUGAAAGCGGGGGACCGUAAGGCCUCGCGCGAUUGGAGCGGCCGAUGUCAGAUUAGGUAGUUGGUGGGGUAAAGGCUCACCAAGCCAACGAUCUGUAGCUGGUCUGAGAGGACGACCAGCCACACUGGGACUGAGACACGGCCCAGACUCCUACGGGAGGCAGCAGUGGGGAAUUGUGGACAAUGGGCGCAAGCCUGAUCCAGCAAUGCCGCGUGCAGGAAGAAGGCCUUCGGGUUGUAAACUGCUUUUGUACGGAACGAAACGGCUCUGGUUAAUACCCGGGGCUAAUGACGGUACCGGAAGAAUAAGCACCGGCUAACUACGUG
rnacentral:rRNA from 1 species